CCUAGCCGCUGCUCCCCUCCCACUCAUGCCGCCCUCUCUCCUCUUCCUCCCGCACCGCCUCUCUCUCUCCCUCCAAACCCUAACCCGCGCCCGCCUCCCUGCCCCAUCGUCGUCCAGAUCCAACCCCACGCCGCCGUCAUCUCCUUCGCCCAGUCGGCUGCCGCCGCACCGCACGAGGUGGGAUGCCAUGCCCCAGCCGUCUCCUCGGCCUGCUUCACCGUCGAGCUCGCUCGUCAUGUCGUUGGGAGGGAAGGAAGAUGGUGUUGCUCUUAUCGAGGUGCACCGCCGUGACGUCAACGGGAGGAGGCCAAGCGAAGCGCGACAUCCACUCAUCCACAUCCCAUCCUCUCUUCCUCACACCAUCCUAUCUCCCUCCCAGAUCCACCACGCAGCUCUGUAGCUCGCUCGGGCGCUCGGACGCCGACGCCAUGGAGGACGCCGCUCCACCCCUGCUCCGGUCCGUGCCCCCGACGCCAUGGAGGACGCCCCUCCACCCCUGCUCCACCCUGAAGCUCGCUCAGGCGCCCGGACGCCGACGCCAUGGAGGACGCCGCUCCACCCCUGCUCCGAUCCGUGCCCCCAACGCCAUGGAGGACGCCCCUCCACCCCUGCUCCAGCCUAAAGGUACCCCACCCCUGCUCCAUCUCAGUUUUGGUCAAAACUGAAUGUUGAAUGCUCCUGCUGCAUCAAGCUGUUGUUUCACAAUUUAAAACUGAGUUUUUUUAAAUUCCGUUCUGUACUAUGGUCUCUGUUUUGUCAAUCUAUUGUAAUCAUUUAUGCUGUGGAGUAAGUUUUAAAAAAAAUUCAGUAGAGUUCUGAACCAUUGCAUCAGUAAGUCCUAAACAAAUUGAGUUGAGUUGUAAACAAAUUACUAGAUCAUUAAGUUCUGAACCAUUGCAAAUUCUGAAUUUUUUCAUCGACGGCGACGGCUCCUCCUCUUCCAAGUCUAGCCCAUCGAUGACGCGCCGUCUCCUGCAAGCCCCUCGCCUCCUCCUCGACUGGCGGCAGCGCCGACCCCGAUGAGGAGCCCAUCCUGCCUCUCCUCCAGGAACUAGCAGAUAGCUUGGUGCUCCCGCAAGCAAUUUGGGAUUCUGUCUUGAUCACAAGAAUCCAUCAGAAUUCAAUACCCGAUAGUCAUGCUGACAUGAUGGAUCUGGACAAACCAUUUGAUCCCAUAUUUAGCUGACCUAUGGGCAACCCAUUUGGUAUUUUGGACGCAAAUUUUGUUGAGAGAGCCGCAGCUGGUUUCUUUGGUCGGGGACCUCAGGUUACACAUCGCAGGGUUGUGCGGUAGAUACCUAUCACACUAAUAAUCCUCAAACUGGAAGGACCAGGAGCAGCUGCAAGCUAUCACGGAACCAGUUCUCUCAUUUGUUCUGCAAUGCAGUAGGCACACUCCACAAUCUCAGUUCCUAAUCUUUGUUAUGCGCUGAGAGGAGGGAAGAAGGACAAUGUGGUCGCAGCCCUAUCGGCACCCUUCUCACCUGAUUCAUCCGCAGCACGCCAUGCAGGUUCGUUUUUGUGUAUUGUUCUUUACUGUCAAGUCUGAAGUUAGUGGUUCUUGAGUGAGCUGCGGAAGCUACUACCGUCUGUUAUCUGCUCCAUGUGCGCCGACGAACAAGUUAAUUAGGUGGCUUGGUGUGUGCUUUUCGACCGCCAUGGCCGACGACUCAUCGUCCCCGAUAUCUUACAUCCAACUGAUCCGGCGGCUCCAUUGAUACGUCAAACUCGUCAUCACUCUGUCGGACUAAGUGUGGAGUUACUUGUGCAAGUUACACCAUCAGCAAACACAUAAAGACCUGAAUGCUAUCAUCGCAAGUAGAGUAUGCAUUUACAUGCUCUAAUUCUAUCUGUUUGGGAGAAAACAAAGGCUUUGUGCCUAUUAGUUACUUUUUGUUUUAUCAUAUCUGUGGGUACCAUCACUAAUACAAGGGGAAGACUCCCAAUCUGUAACAUGUGACCUGUCCAACUGCAAAAAUGUUAAGCAAUAAAAACUAUGUGUAACACAUGUUCUUAUACACUCUGCC
rnacentral:rRNA from 1 species